CUUGGCCAAAAUUAUCGUCUCAUAUGACUUGCUUAAUAGUACCAAUGGAUUCGUUGAUCAGGCCUAAACUGACGUUAAUGUUUCUGUUCAACAUCAAUCGAGCCUUGAGUUUAAUGACCAGCAUUUGAUCCUGACCAGCCGUCAUGGGCGAGCCGUCAUCAUAUUUCAAUGAAGACUGAUAGUUAUUUUUGUAACUAACGAGGACAGUUAAUCUUGUCUUUGGUGAUAAUGUUAAACUUGGGC